AACGAGCGCUGGCGGCAGGCUUAACACAUGCAAGUCGAGCGCGUGGCAACACGAGCGGCAGACGGGUGAGUAACACGUGGGAACGUACCCUUUUCUACGGAAUAACGCAGGGAAACUUGUGCUAAUACCGUAUACGCCCUUUUGGGGAAAGAUUUAUCGGAGAAGGAUCGGCCCGCGUUGGAUUAGCUAGUUGGUGGGGUAAAGGCCUACCAAGGCGACGAUCCAUAGCUGGUCUGAGAGGAUGAUCAGCCACAUUGGGACUGAGACACGGCCCAAACUCCUACGGGAGGCAGCAGUGGGGAAUAUUGGACAAUGGGCGCAAGCCUGAUCCAGCCAUGCCGCGUGAGUGAUGAAGGCCUUAGGGUUGUAAAGCUCUUUCACCGAUGAAGAUAAUGACGGUAGUCGGAGAAGAAGCCCCGGCUAACUUCGUGCCAGCAGCCGCCGUAAAAC
rnacentral:rRNA from 1 species